AGAUCCUCUCCAUUUCAAAGUGAAAUGGAGAGCGUCCAGUUCACGGUGGAGAUUUUUUUUAAAAUGAUCCACGUUCAUAAACGCGCCACGUCAUAGCUUUACCCACUAAACCCAAACCACACUUAACUACGCUUAAACUAGAGACUCUUUUAACUUAACCUGAUCCUUCAGCUACCCAAAAAAGCAAAUAACUCCCUCUUCCUUCAGAUCUUUCUCUACCCAAAAUUCAAAAACUCUCUCACACCAUUGCCCAAUCUCCAUGGCUACAGCUAGCAGCCACUGCGUCCCACACCUUCACUAUCGGCGAAGUUCCGGUACAUUCCUGUCUCUCUCCUUCGGCCGCUGGAGGUGUUAUCGUCGGUGCCACCACCACUGGUGGUCGUCGGUUCAUUUUAAAGAUAUAAACUGUGGCUCUUGAUAGGUAAUGAGGUGUUAGAAGUUGACAGUAAGAAUGUAAAAGCUCUGUACAGUGGUAUGGUUGAAUGGCAUGAUUAAAUGGAUGCUAUACCCAAUAUGGGAAGCUGCUGCCGUUGAUGAAUGGUUAUACAAUGGCGGUCCUUAUGAGCUAAUUGUUCUACCACCAAGAGCGAGAAAAGGCAGCUGUUGGAGGUGGAGGGGGAUUAGUGCUAAAUUUUAGAUUGUUUUUUGUUAGUGUAGACCACAUGUUCUCACUCUUGUAUAAGUUCUUUAUACAAGUUCUACCAUUUUGGUGAAAUCUUGUAGAAAAUAUAUGUUUUGGAUAUAUGUAGAAACUUUGUUAAGUUAGUGUGUGUGCUGUGCUUAGUAGUGUGUGGGUGGUGCCUAGUAGUGUGAUGAGGUGUGCCUGUUGUGGUGAUAAAGGGUGUGUGUACUUGGCUAUAUUGAGGCAUGUGCAGUGCAGGUGCAUGAUGUGAAGCUUAGUAAGUGAUUAGAUAGUGAGAGUUAUACAAAAAAGAGUAACCAUGUCGCCAGGAAGCUUGAGAAGCAUCAGCAAGGUCGUACACUUGAUGCACAUAUCAAAGAGCAGUUUGGGGGCGGUAGGCUGUUGGCAUGCAUCUCUUCUCGACCAGGACAAUGUGGUAGAUCUGAUGGAUACAUUUUGGAAGGAAAAGAACUUGAGUUCUGUAUGAAGAAGAUCCAAAGGAAGAAGGGGAAGGGUGCCGCAGCUUAAGUAGUUUAUUAGUCAUAGUUUUGGUCUUUUUGCAACUUGUUUUUGUUACACCUGCCUAGAUGGGCCAAUGUUUAUCAUUAUUGAUGGAUCUCUGAAGAUUUUGUGGCAUGUUUAGUUGUUUCAAAUUAGAUGCUUUAGCUAGUUUGUGAUUGACAAGAGUCAGACUUGAGCUAAAAUAGCACUUGUUGGGUGCUGCCCUCUUUAUCCAUCAUUCUCUUGUAGUAGAAUUUCUUUUUAUUUUUAUAGCUGUGCUCUUUUCAUGGUA